UACUGGAAGUGGAAAAGUUCUACCUCCUCUCUAAUGAAACACAGAGGUACUGUUUCACCGAGGGAGGUGGAGAAAAGACGGCGAGGCGCGGACACACACACAAACACACUCUGAAGCAACAGUCACUCCCAGGCAGGACUGCCGGAGAGAAACCAGCCUUUGUGGUAAACAGCAGCAAAACUUCGGCGAGUGUGAAAAUCGAAAAGAAGAAACGGAGACGCCCUGAGGACCGCCGCUCAGCAGCGUCUGAGCCCUCGUCCUCCUCCCCUGGAUGACGUUCUGCUCGGCCCCACAACAAACCAACGACGCCCAGCGGGAAGCCACUCCGGGGGAGAAACGCCGAGUUCACCGCCGUCCCCUCUUCAUCAACUGCUUUUGUAGAUUCUGACAGUGAGUCUGGGCUUGGCUGAGGUUGAGAAAACAACAAAACCUCUCGCAGGUUGUCUCAAACAAGCAGCCGGAGUUACAUCCUGAUGACCGCACGCACACGUGGACGUGCAGGCAAAUAAAGAGAACACUGAGCUGGGACUGCUCCCACUGCCACGCCACCAUGGACGCCAAAGAGGAGACGCUAAAUAUGCUGAGCAAGAUAUGGAUCAAGCUGCAGGGUCUCCCAAACGCUCACCCCAUCGAGCUGGGAGCGUUCUUCAUCCUCCUAUCUUUCAUCUUGGUCGUCACUCUGAUGUCGGUGCUGACCUGCGCCAGCAGCUGCUGCUGCUGCUGCUGCUGCUGCCGCCGUGGCAGGACCAAGCUAAAAGAGAUGAGCAUCUGAGGAGAUCUGUGCAGUACAGACACGAGCAAAGGGGAAACCUUAGCACAGAUGAGCGUGUCAGAAAGAGUAAAGCCUCUUUCUGCAACUGUUUAACACAAACUGCAGAUUUAAAGUCAAGGGUGAUAAGUGUCGUACGCGGAGCGUUCUGAUGCAAAAAGAUCUGUGGGACAACGAGGCAGCUGACAAACACAGAGGGCGAUGUCUUGAAAGGCUGCCAAACACACCUGUGAACUCUGCCAGGUAUUCAGGAGAGUCCACAUUCCUUGGAGCGUCCAUGUGCGCCGCAGAAUAACGAAAACAACCGUUCUGACCUGAGGGGGAGCCCCGGCCAGCUCCUGCCGUCUACAAUGCAUGAGUCAUUCUUGAAGAAUGAAAAGUGGUGGUCAGAUAAGAUGGCCCUGAGUGGAAAGUUGCAUUCUAAUCUCAAGUGUGAAAGUAGCAUAAGAGGGAGCAAGUGUGCCCUCUGCUGGACAGAAACUGAAGUAUUGGGUAUAUUGAUCAGCUGUAAUGGGCUAAGUCUGAUUAUGCACAUUUUCUCCCACAGCCCAAAAACCAUUUGUGUUUCAUUUUAAAUGUAAUUACAAAUUCCCCAAGUGUGAGUGUGUGCGGUUCACUCUCUGUUUCUAACUAACUGUGACCCUGAAUUGGAUAAAACAGAACAAAUGAGUGAGUUCCUGCUCACCAUUGAGCUUUUCCCCUUUAAUCAGCUAUCAGUUUAUCAGCUGUCCACUUGCUGCUGCAAUAGUGUAGAUUUCCCUAUUCUGGGACAAAUAAAGUAUUAUUUUAUCUUAUAUAGAUGAUCAUCCACAACAUUAUGACCACUGACGGGUGAUGUGAGUAACAUUAGGCGUAUUGACGCUGGAGGUCACACAUGGAUAUAAUAUGAGACAGGUAGAUGGUCAUACACUUCCAGCUGAUCAGUGUAGCCUCCAUAAUGGAAGGUGUGUAUACAGCCAAAACCUGCAUUUAGUUUUUCUGCAGUGGGUGAAGGGCUCACGUAACAACGUGUAAAUUUGUCGUACAUUCAUUGAUGAAUGAACAAAGGUUUGUUUUGCAUGUAAUGAAAUAUAAUAGCAUUCUUCUACAUGUGUGCAUUGAAUAUUCCACUCACCCUUCCUGCUCACAGAAUGACACCAUAGCUUCGAAGUCAGUGAUGGCUGUUUUGUCAGAUUCUUUUGCCGAGCCGCGUUUCUCCUGUGGAUACAUUUCAGAUUUUGUUUUGUUUUUU